AGUGGCGAACGGGUGAGUAAUACAUCGGAACGUGCCCUGUAGUGGGGAAUAACUAGUCGAAAGAUUAGCUAAUACCGCCUACGACCUGAGGGUGAAAGUGGGGGACCGCAAGGCCUCAUGCUAUAGGAGCGGCCGAUGUCUGAUUAGCUAGUUGGUGGGGUAAAGGCCCACCAAGGCGACGAUCAGUAGCUGGUCUGAGAGGACGAUCAGCCACACUGGGACUGAGACACGGCCCAGACUCCUACGGGAGGCAGCAGUGGGGAAUUUUGGACAAUGGGCGAAAGCCUGAUCCAGCAAUGCCGCGUGUGUGAAGAAGGCCUUCGGGUUGUAAAGCACUUUUGUCCGGAAAGAAAUGGCUCUGGUUAAUACCUGGGGUCGAUGACGGUACCGGAAGAAUAAGGACCGGCUAACUACGUGCCAGCAGCCGCGGUAAUACGUAGGGUCCAAGCGUUAAUCGGAAUUACUGGGCGUAAAGCGUGCGCAGGCGGUUGUGCAAGACCGAUGUGAAAUCCCCGAGCUUAACUUGGGAAUUGCAUUGGUGACUGCACGGCUAGAGUGUGUCAGAGGGGGGUAGAAUUCCACGUGUAGCAGUGAAAUGCGUAGAGAUGUGGAGGAAUACCGAUGGCGAAGGCAGCCCCCUGGGAUAACACUGACGCUCAUGCACGAAAGCGUGGGGAGCAAACAGGAUUAGAUACCCUGGUAGUCCACGCCCUAAACGAUGUCAACUAGUUGUUGGGGAUUCAUUUCCUUAGUAACGUAGCUAACGCGUGAAGUUGACCGCCUGGGGAGUACGGUCGCAAGAUUAAAACUCAAAGGAAUUGACGGGGACCCGCACAAGCGGUGGAUGAUGUGGAUUAAUUCGAUGCAACGCGAAAAACCUUACCUACCCUUGACAUGCCACUAACGAAGCAGAGAUGCAUUAGGUGCUCGAAAGAGAAAGUGGACACAGGU
rnacentral:rRNA from 1 species